rnacentral:misc_RNA from 1 species
UACGGGUUGGACCCGGCGGUCCCGCCAGACAUGGUAACUGGCAGCGAGGGUUGCGCUCGUUGCGGGACUUAACCCAACACCUCACGGCACGAGCUGACGACAGCCAUGCGCCACCUGUGAAGGUGCCCCGAAGGGAAGCCCUGUUUCCAGGGCGGUCACCCACAUGUCAAGCCCAGGUAAGGUUCUUCGCGUUGCGUCGAAUUAAACCACAUGCUCCACCGCUUGUGCGGGCCCCCGUCAAUUCCUUUGAGUUUCAGCCUUGCGGCCGUACUCCCCAGGCGGGGCACUUACUGCGUUAGCGACGGCACUCAGAGGGUCGCUCCCCCAAGCACCUAGUGCCCAUCGUUUACGGCGUGGACUAC